rnacentral:miRNA from 1 species
AUAUACUGUAUACUGUGUACUG